UGGCUCAGUUGUUAGAGCAUGGCGCUUGCGAUGACAGGGUUGUGGGUUCGAUUCCCGC
rnacentral:tRNA from 1 species